CCUACGGGUGGCAGCAGUGAGGAAUAUUGGUCAAUGGGCGCGAGCCUGAACCAGCAACGUAGCGUGAAGGAUGAAUGCCCUACGGUUUGUAAACUUCUUUUAUAAAGGAAUGAAGUGAGGCACGUGUGCCUUUUUGUAUGUACUUUAUGACUAAGGAUCGGCUAACUCCGUGCCAGCAUCCGCGGUAAUACGGAGGAUCCGAGCGUUAUCCGGAUUUAUUGGGUGUAAAGGGAGCGUAGAUGGGUUGUUAAGUCAGUAGUGAAAGUUUGCGGCUCAACCGUAAAAUUGCAAUUGAUACUGGCUGCCUUGAGUACAGUUGAGGUAGGCGGAAUUCGUGGUGUAGCGGUGAAAUGCGUAGAUAUCACGAAGAACACCGAUUGCGAAGGCAGCUUACUAAACGGCAACUGACAUUGAUGCGCGAAAGUGUGGGUAUCAAACAGGAUUAGAUACCCUAGUAGUC
rnacentral:rRNA from 1 species